rnacentral:lncRNA from 1 species
GCCUUUUGGGGUAACCAGAAAGACAUGAAGUCUUGGAUCACCCAGUCGACGUCCGACUUCGCUAGGAACUCGGCAACAGCUGGCUCGAGCAUGUCGUAUGCCUUCUUAAGGUAAGGGACCAUGUUAUGCAGCAGCUCGGAGGUCGACUCGGCAGAGUCGGGGAGGCCAUGGACGCGAGGCAAAGGAAGCUCAACGAGGGUUAUCGAGGGAGGGAGGUUCGCGGGGAGCUUUUGGAGGUUUUUCGGGGUGGAGAUGAAGGAGACGCGAUGACCCUUUCGAGCUAAGAAGGUGGCGACCUCAAGGAAGGGCAUGAGAUGGCCGUAAGCGAGCCAUGGGAACAUCGCUACGUGAAGCUUCUUCUCUUCGUUUUCCAUGGUGGUGUCUAACUUUUCCUUUUAUUCGAUGGAUCUAGUACCGUGACUCUCUAUAUAUACAAGGACUGUCUGGAGGGACGGUGCAACAGCUGCCCAUUUAAAAUUCUUAUUGAUGCUGGCGUAAGCAAGAUCAUAUCUCAAUACGAUAACUUAUUUAACGGGACUACGAAAAUUUAUAUUAUGAACGUGAUUUGUUAAAUGAUAAGGCUUGAGAAUAUUGUAUUAUUGAUGUGUGCUUCUCAUGGACUAAGUGCAGCCCGGUGAUAGCAAGUCUCGUGGAAACCAUAUUUAGAAUAUUGUAUUUAUCGAUACGAAUUGAUCAACGACUAAUUACUAUAUAGCGACACUCUAAAGUCUUAUACUAAGUUCUACACAUUUACGGUACCUUUCAAAAGUAAUGGAGCCGUUGCAUAAUUCUCUUAAAUUGAUUUGCUGCCUUCCAUGAUCUUCGCGAAAUUGCACGGUCCAAUGAUAGUCAUACUUCCUAAUUCCAUUUCCUCAAUUCUCAAAGAGAAAUGAGUGGAUAACUGCGCCAUCAAUCUCUCAAGAGUGACUGACCAAAAAAAAAUCUCUCAAGAGUGAGGGAGGCGCAUCAACCACUCGUGUAAAGAUGAAAACUGGGUUACUUCUUUGACCAGUUUCCUCUUUCUAGGAUUGGAGCAAUAAUUAAGACAAAAUUAAUGAAAUUAAUUUUUUUCCCAUAGAUCACUAAAUUGAUUAAGAAAAGGGAGAAAGUUACAAAAAAAUCCAAAACUAUGCUUAUUAUAACACAUUUAUUCCAAACUUAUUUUUUGACACAGAAAAUCCCAGACAUUUUUUCUAUGACACAGAAAAUCAUAAAUUUAUAUCUGUGUGACACAUUUACUUCAAAAAAAUAAUAAAUUUUGAGGUAAAUGUGUCAUAUAAAUACUAAGUUUAGGGUUUUUGGUGUUGCGGAAAAAUAAUUUGGAAUAAAUGGGUCACAUGGGUAUAAGUUUAGGGUUAUAAAUGGGUAUCAUAGGCAUAAGUUUGGGGGGUUUUUGUGUAAAAAAAAAAAGUUUGGAUAAAUGUGUCACAUAUGUUUAAAUUUGGGAUUCUUGGGUCGCAAUUUUUUUUUUUUUUUGGAUAAAUAUGUCAAGUGGGCAUACUUUAUGAUUUGUUGUGACCGAUUCUUUUAAGGAAAAAAAAAUCUAGUGGAGUUUCUAUUCGCUCCUCAAAUUUGUCUUACCCUACUUAAAACUCAUAGAAGUCCAAAUUUAAAAAAUCACAAACUUAUUUUUCCACUUUGAUUUCUGACGUUACUUAAGGCUAUCUGUUUUAGUAAUAGCAACACCUAAUUUACGCAACUUAAAUCAUCAAUAAGUUCAGCUCCAACCAUAACAGUCCAACUUAAUACGAAAAUCCAAAUCAUUAUCUUGUGACUAGCCAAAAAUGAAAUUUAUUUAAAAAUUUAAAGUAUAUUGAGUUUGUUUAAUUAAGUUUGUUUUUUUCCUAUCUAUCUUUUUUUUUUUUGGGGGGGGGGGUAAAACUCUACAUUUUCAUGGUACUAGCCUACGUUUAAUUUAAUAUAGCUAAACUCGAUAAUUAUGUAUCAUGUCUAAGUUCAACAGAUGCUAGAAAGAGAUUCAUUGCGAUGUAUAAUUUUUUACUUGUUUGGUAUAAAUAUGAGUGGAUUACUAAUUUGACAUUCAUUGUAUACGUGUAAUAGCUGAAAAUGUUUGGCGAGGACGCCAUAAAAAAAAAAUUGAGCUUUCCAUUUUUAAGUACUUAUCCAAAGUGUUUUAAAAAAAUGUUCGCAGCAGUAAUUAUGUUUCCUUCUUUCUGGCGUCACCACCCGGUGGUGCUCAUUUCGCACCAAUAGGCGCACUCGUUUUGCUGUGGACAGAGAGAGGGAGAGAGAAAACAGUGACAGAUCGAUUUUGACCUUUGUAGUGAAGAAGCUGCUGUGUGAAAAUGGGCCAGGAGUUACCAAACGGGCUUGUAAUUUGGGCUAAACAAAUGACGGGCUGAUUAGGAACGAUGAGGCCCAAGUAAAUGGUGCUUGCUUUUGCAUGCCAAGGGUUCUCAUUAGUAAGGGUUCAUUAUUUGCCUGAUCAGCCUUUUAUUAUAACUUGAGUUUUGGAUGUAUAUUAAAUUUUCUAAGUGCAUUCGUUGCUUAAUUAUCAUCCACCAUUAAGGAUUUUGUAGUUCGCGUUUCAUACCAUUACGAUGUAGAAUGAAAAGCUUAUAUAUCUUGAUUAACAACGCACCAGAGACAAAGUUCAAGGAUCAACUUAAUCUUGAAUCCAAGAUGUCAAAGUUUGAAAUUAAAGUCUCGAUUGUAAUUUCGACACUUUUCUUUUUCUAGUGGUAAGUCUAAUGCAUGUAGUUUUUUUAAAUGCUUAAACAUUGAACCAUACAUUCAUCUAAUGCUUAUACUUUAAAAAUAAUUGGCAGUGAUCUCACCAAGUUACGGUGGUAUUUCUUAUUGUAUGUUAAAUUAACAUUCUUCAUGAUGUCAUAAUUAAGGUGUUAGAUAUUCAUUUAAACUUUCAAGAGUUUAAUUAAAGGUGAGUGUUUUAUUCCAAAUGCGAAAAAUCCUCUGUUUGCAUCACAACUUAAUUCACUUGGAUGAAUCUCAAGGAUCGGGACCAUUGCCCUAUGAAUGAAACCGUAUGUCGUUUUGUGGAUGAAGAGACUUGUAUGCAUACAUGAAAAAUUAAGAUAAGUGUAUUGAAAAUUCUAAAACUUAUUAUGAAAGUGUAAUUGAGUUUAAAAACUUUUAAAUAGUGCAAUUAAGUCUUAAAAUUUAUUAAAUUGAUUUAAUAAAGUCCUAAAACUUGUUAAGUUAGUAUACUCAAGUUCUUUCAUUAACUCCAUCCAACUUAAAAAGUGAAAAACAUUAAUAAAAUUUAGAAUUUUUUUUUGGUAAAAUUAAUAAAAUUUAGAAUUUAAUUGUAUCAAUUUGACAAAUUUUGAAACUGUUCAUCUGUUACACAUUUACCUUUUAACACUAGACAAGUUGGAUUAAAAAGGAAUAAAAAAGUAAACUUGCAUGAAGCCAUUCAAUUUGUAAAAGGAAAACAUCCUCAGAAAUCCCAUUUAUAGCAAGAUCAGAUCACAGUUCCCAAGAUGGGAUGGGCGGGAGUUGGCCAUUCAAUUUGUAAAAGGAAAAAAUCCUCGGAAAUCCCAUUUAUAGCAAGAUCAUAUCACAGUUCCCAAGAUGGGAUGGGUGAGAGUUAGCCAUUCAAUUUGUAAAAGGAAAAAAUCCUCGGAAAUCCUAUUUAUAGCAAGAUCAGAUCACAGAAAUCCCAAGGCUGAGAAUUACCGAGCAGUUGCCCACUUCUACCUGACGGUAGAACCUCGUCUUAAGGCGAAAAUAAAAGAAGUCCGCGAGAGUUUUGAAAAGACGGUCGGUUCCCUUUAACCCUUUUUUGGCUUUUUGGGAAUGUCAUACGUGGGAAGCACUUCGGCUACCUUAUCGCAAGGGUUUCGAUGAAAAAAAAGAUAAGAUUAGCAGAGAAUUCUAUAACAGAUGAUUUGUAGCAUCCGGAUGGUUCAAUUCCUUUUGAGGAAUUAAUGACCGCUGCGCACCUUAAACCGCUAGUUCUGCAGGAAGCAAAAAAACUUGCGCGAAGGACGUUUUCUUUUCUGCCUUCUCCUCUCCAAAGGCCAAGGAAGAGACUGCAUCCCUUUCCUUCGGUAGCUCUAUUUGUUUUCCAAGGAUAGCGGUAGCUGGGGCAAAGCCCGCUUUCUUCACUCCGCGAAUGAGAGAGGAUAAACUCAGAGGAAAAAACACGUUCUCUCUUUGGGCGGGAGUUAAUGCUAGCAAUAAUUACAUGAUUCUAGUACACAAAGACUUCAGUUGGUCCCAGCAGCCUACAAUGUGCCUAGGUUUCGGAUAACCACAUGACAGAUGAAUUUUAAUUCUAAAUGCCAGGCUGUUUCUGAAUUAUUAGUUUAUUGGACAUAUUAUCUGAAUUUCAAACUUAAUGUGCAAUUUAUUCACUAUGGUUCUAAACUUUAGUUUAGAAAUAAUCUCAAAUAUUAAGUCAAAAUUUGUGAAUCAUUUUUAUCAUUUUUCCUUUUCCGACUUAUACACUCUUGCGUCAAUGAUUUUUGUGAAUUUUGUGAAAAAGGAGAUAAGUUUCAAGUAGGGUAUGUAUAAUAUCAUUUUUUGUUGGUAAUUCAUACGGAUCAUUGAUAAUGUAGAAAUUGUAUAGAACCCCAUGCUCAACAUGCAUCUUAGAGAUUUGAUUAGCGAAGAAUCGAGGAUUGAGAAAAUAUUCUCCUCACUUAAAAACAGUCUUUGCAUUGUUUAAGAAAAUGUGAUAGCAAAAAAUAUUUCUGUUGCUAAUAGGAAAUGAUGAUGAUGCAUACAUUUUCUAUUCAGGGAUUGAAGAAUUACCUGAAUCCAUGGGCUCCCUUACAUCAUUAACUCAGUUGGACUUAUCUUGUUUGGGUAUUGAAAAAUUACUAGAAUCUAUUGGUUCUUUGAAGGAGCUCGUGACUCUUAAUGCCUUCGAUUGCGCAUCGUUAACUUGCAUACCCUGCUCAAUAGGCCAUCUAGUAUCUCUCCGGCGCUUGCUAUUACGGGAAUGCUGGUCAUUAAGAGAGGUUCCCGCUUCGAUCGGAAAGUUGGCAUCAUUUGUUGAGAUGGAUUUAAAAUCUACAGUGAUAAGAGAAUUACCUGAAAGCAUUGGUUCUUUGACGGAGCUUAAGACUCUUGAUACCUCUAGUUGUGCAUUGUUAGCUCACAUACUGAGCUCCAUAGUCCAUUUAGCAUCUUUGCGGCGCUUGCUAUUAGGGGGAUGCUGCUUGUUGCAAGAGAUCCCCAACUUGAUUAUACAGUUGGCAUCAUUGACCGUGCUUGAUUUAAAAUCUACAAAGAUUUUAGAAUUAUUUGAAUGCAUUGGUUCUCUAAAGGAACUUGAGACUCUUGAUGUCUUUAAUUGUGCAUUGUUAGCCCACAUACCUAGCUCCAUCGGCCUUUUUGCAUCUUUGACUCUCUUUGACCUAAGUAGAUGCAAUAACCUUGCUCAACUUCCAGACUCCAUAGGCUCCCUCGUGUCCUUACAACACUUGUUAUUACAAGGAUGCUACUUGUUGAGAGAGAUCCCUGACUCGAUUGGAAAUUUGACAUCAUUGAUUGUGCUGGAUUUGAAAUCUACAGCAAUUGUGGAAUUACUUGAAAGCAUUGGUUCUCUAAAGGAGCUCAAGACUUUAGAUGUCUCUUGUUGUGCGUCAUUAGCCUGCAUUCCUAGCUCCAUAGGCCAUUUAACGUCUCUGACUCUCCUUGACCUAAGAUUUUCUCUAAAACUUGCUCAACUUCUAGACUCCAUAGGCUCACUCAUGUCUCUACAUCGCUUGUUAUUAUGAGAAUGCCAAUUGUUGAAAGAGAUCCCCGACUCGAUUGGAAAGUUGGCAUCAUUGACCGCAUUGGAUUUAAAAUCUACAGCCCUUGUGGAAUUACCUAGAAGCAUCGAGAAUCUUCAAAAUUUGAGGAUCUUGGACAUUCGUGGAACUCAUGUAACAUUGCCUGAAACCUUCGAAAUCCUACAAAAUGUGGAAAUCUAAUACACUCAGGAACUAGGUGAAUUGCUUGCUUUUACUGAUUGCCUGAAUUGGUUCUUUUUUUUUAUAAUUGUUCUACAACAUUUAAACCGCAGUUCUCUCUUUUGACUGUUCUCAUAUGACUGCUCAAAAUAAUUUGAUGAUUUUUUUUUUUCAGGAAAAUAAUUUGAUGAUUAAAAUGUGGAGUAUUAAGGAAGCUUCUGGAGGCAAAGCACAAAACACAUAGGCAAAGGAGAGAGAGAGAGAGAUCAUACUACUGGUUUUAUGGCGCUCUUGAUCACCAGAAUUCGUCAGGUUCUUUCAAGUUUAUUUCAUAGGGUGUGAAUUUGAUUUGCUGCAAGGCUGUUGGAGUGAGUUCAUAGUUUCAUUGUCAUUUUAGAUUCUUGAUGAACUGUUUAUUUUUCGAGUUUGAUUCUAACAAGAUUCAUACCGUUUAUCCUGUCAUUGCGCAAUUAAUUCUUCUGCUCAUUAAUCAUUCCAAUGCUGGAAUUUUGUUGGUACGCCGAUGAGGAUUUUGCUCUAGGAGUCAACUCUCUGCCAUUUGUCAUCCAACACGAUUCUUCAUCCUCGGCAUGAUAUUGAGAGCCAGACUUUUAGAUUAAUUUUCUCUUUUGCAAGUUUUGUAUCUGAAGGUUGUUGCACUUGCUUGCAGGUCAUCUAUAACUGGCUUGUUUUGUUUAUAUGGCUGAGUUAAAUUCUCGUCUCUCGUUUGAUUCUUGUAAUGCCAGUUAUACGGGUUAGGUUAUACACGAAGUUGAUCCAGUGGAAAUUACUGGACGUUGAAAGAACAAGCGACUCUUCAAGAAUCCUUUGAGCAUUGUCUUCUCAGUUUUUUAAGGUGGAUGAUUGAAAUCCUCCUAUCUGGAAUGAUGUGAAUUUGCUUGCUUUUACUGAUUGCUUCACUUGGUUUUUCAUUGUUCUGCAAUAAAUAAGCUUCAAUUCUCUCUUGUCUGGUCUUAGAUGACUGCUCAAAAUAAUUUGACGAUUAGCAUGUGGAUUAUUAAGGAAAAGCUUCUAGAGGCAUAGCACAGGAACACAUGGGCUGGGGGGGGGGGGGGGGAGAGAGAGAUCAUACUGCUGGAUUUAUGGGGCUCUCGGUCACGAGAAUUCUUUAUUUAUUUAUUUAUUUUCCGAAUGAUCCCCAGAAUUCGUCAGGUUUUUUGAAGCUUAUUUCAUAGGGUGUGAAUUUGAUUUGCCGCAAGUCUGCAAGAGUGAGUUCGUAGUUUCAUUGUCUCUAUGCUGAGUUUGAUCCUAACAAGAUUCAUACCAUUUAUACUGUCAUUGCGCAAUUUAUUCGUCUGUCAUUAAUCGUUCCAAUGCUGGGAUUUUGUUGGUACGCCGAUGAGGAGUUUGUUCUGGCGAUGCUCUGUAUGCAAGUCUUAAACGGAGCAAACACCUGCUCAAAACUUCACUUUCCGUUUCCUCCCCGUUCAUCGCCACCACAUUCUCGUCCAGUUCCGCCAGGGGUGUACGAUCUCCACCUCCAAGGAACACAGCAUGGAGUCGAACUGAUCGCGCGUUGACUUGGUCAAUCAACAUCACAAGAGUCUACGGCUAUAAGAAUUGCUGUCCAAACAACAUAAGAAGGCCCAUAUGAACGGGAUAUGCGCUCGUAAAACGUUUUCUGGAAUUUGGAUUGAAGUGACUCCGGGCAUCACGUGGACCAAGAUGAAUCGAUUGGAUUUAGGCACGAGACUCUGGACGGCCCAAUGGACGGCGCGGCUCUUUCCUCUUCCUCCAUCGAAGCUGCCUAAGCCGUCACCUUUCACGGCCACCGCAAUGCAGUCUUUACCGGUGGAGCACCCCAGUAGCCGCCACCGGUGUUGCUCAUUUCGGCCCCAGUAGGCGCGCUCGCCUUGCUGAUAUAUAUAUAUAGAGAGAGAGAGAGAGAGAGAGAGAGAGAGAGAGGACAGUGAGGGCCUGCAUGUUUGUGUUUCUUUUUGUUGUUCAUGAACAAAUUUUCUGUUUUUUUGUUUCUGGGAACAAAAAAAGAACAGAAACGCGUUUGUUUGCGUUUUUGUUCAAAAUCUAACUUUUUAUUUCGGGAACAAAAUUAGAACAGAAAUAAGAAACAAAAAAAAGUUAUUUUUUUUUCCAGAAACACUUUUUGAAGAAUAAAAAGUUAUUUUUUUCUUCUUUUUUCUUUGGCCGGUUGCCGGCCCCCGGCGAGGCUCAGCCUCGCCGGUGCGGGGCGAGGCUCGGCCUCACCUUGGCUCGGGCGAGGCUCGGCCUCGUCGGGGGCCAACGAGCCUCGCCGUGGCUGGGUGAGGCUGUCGGCCCUCGUCGGCCGAUCACCAGCCAUGGCCGAGGCCGGCGACCGGCCAAAAGAAGAAAAAAAGAAAAAAGAAAGAAAAAAAGGAAAAAUAAAAUAAAAAUAUUAAAAAAUUAAAAGAAACAAAAAAAAAAUACAAAUUUACCAAACGUGUUUUUAUUCAUUUUUUAUUCAUGGAACAAGUUUACCAAACGUGUCUUUCUGGUAAAAAAUUAUUUCCCAGAACAGAAAUAGUUUUUUCUAUUUCUGUUCCCUGGAACACUUUUUGAAUAGAAACACAGACAAACGCGCCAUGAAUGGCCGAUUGACCUUUGUACUGAGUAAGCUGAUGUGUGAAAUGGGCCAGAAAUUACGAAACAGCCUUGUAAUUUGGGCUUAAUAAGCGACGGGCUGAUUAGAAACGCUAAGGCCCAAGUAAAUGGUCCUUGCUUUUACAUGCCAUUGCUAACAUUGCAUCCCAAUUUAUCUGAGUCGGAGGAAUCUUGGGGACUGGGGCGCCCACCCUGUGGACGAAACCGUGUCUUCAUGCAAACAUAUUUCAUUGAUUAAUUUUUCCGAGCGACAGAAACGAUUUUAUUCUACAAUUUUAUUUCUAAAUUAUGAUUUUUUUAAAGAAAAUUAUUUCCAAAUCAUAUGAAUUGUUGCAAAACAAAACAAGUUGAAUCUAAAUGAAUGAGCCCGUAAAACAUUCGAUUAAGAAAGAACUUAUGAUUGCGUUCGUAGCGGUGCUAGGAACUCACUCUCUUACAUGUCAUUUUUUUUGGAGAAAGAAAGAAGAAGGGAACGAAAAAACUCACUUUCCGGGAACGUGGAUUUUUCUAAGUCUUCAGAUCCAGCCAUUCUCUUGAUAAUGAUCUUGAUGUAACGCUUGCGCUAGAAAACGAAAUUAGUAUACUAAAACUGAUGCCAUGUAUCAUUGCUGGAUCCACGAUUGAUACGUGUUUGGCCACAUGCAUGCAUGAUGCCAACGUAGUACAAAUAAUCACACACCCAACUUGUAGGUUGACAAGUUCCUCAGCUUCAGGCUCUACCCUUUUCAAGUGCUCGAGCGAACUCCUCCAAAUAUUUCAAUUGCGACUCCACGUUACCAAAUAUCUCCCGCAUGGCCCAUGCGUUCGCCCUCACUUCCUCUCCAUUUGGCUCUACCAUGACCCACCUUAUCGUCUCGGCUACCGAGUCACUCGUGAACGACCCGUCCCGGCCGUCCCUUGGCACUUCCGACCCGACCCGCCUCUCGUCCAUUAGCCUUGCCAUCAGCCCUUGGUCGGAGGCCUUGCCCGAGUGCCUCUAUGACAGAGCUCCACCCGCAGUGCGUCAAGAACCCGCCGAUCGAUGGGUGGGCCAGGAUGUCGAGCUGAGGAACCCAGCCCACCCAGACGAGGCCUCGACCCGAGACCCGGCUUUCGAACCCAGAAGGGAUACUGCUGCUGGGGCCUGCCUUUCGGCUAUCACCCAGACGAAGGGCAAACCUGACUUUUCAAUCCCACAUGCCAACUCGUGCAUGAACUCUUGACUCAAAGCCACCUCGGUGCCGAGGGCGACAUAGAACACUGACUUCUCUUCCUUAUCAUCCAACCAUUGCUUGAGCUCGCCCCAUCUCCCGUCUCCUUCGUGGCGGCUUUUAUUCUGGGGCGGCAAAAGCCCCACCGGAACCACGGGUCUCGUGUAAAACUUCUUGAGUAGACUCAACGGCUUGGCCUCGAACUCGCUACAGGUCCUUAUGGCCACGAUAUCGCAGCCCUGUAUUGACCUGCCUAACCUUUCGAAAACUGACAUGUUAGAGUUAGAGUCCACGAAAUCCUCUUCGUUCAUCACCUCAUGAAGCCUGAACGCGACUUUAGUUGGGUAAGUAACCCACUGGGGAACGACCGUCAAGUCCUCUGCCGUCUUGGCUCGGGCCUGACCGUCAAUCAGAAGAGAUGGCGGGCCAAUGAAGGCGAGGCUGGUAGCGCUGAAUAUGCUGAAGAACGCCGAUUUAACACCGAGUUGUCUCGCCUUUUGGGGUAACCAGAAAGACAUGACGUCUUGGAUCACCCAGUUGACGUCCGAGUUCACAAGGAACUCGGCAACAGCUGGCUCGAGCAUGUCGUAUGCCUUCUUAAGGUAAGGGAACAUGUUAUGCGGCAGCUCGGAGGUCGACUCGGCAGAGUCGGGGAGGCCAUGGACCCGAGGCAAGGGAAGCUCAACGAGGGUUAUCGAGGGAGGGAGGUUCUGGGGGAGGUUCUGGAGGUUUUUCAAGGUGGAGAUGAAGGAGAUGCGAUGACCCUUUCGAGCUAAGAAGGUGGCGACCUCGAGGAAGGGCAUGAGGUGGCCGUAAGCGAGCCAUGGGAACAUCGCAACGUGGAGCUUCUCUUU